GUGUUGCAAUGUGCAUCUAGCCGGUGCUCUGUCAUCUUCUGGUGGCAGAUAUGCGCUGGUCCGAUGUGCGUGGAGUAGUGCGCUUGAAGUGGAACGGAUUGUGUGCUGCCCAAGAGCGGUGAUUGGAGAGUGCCAGUAAUGCUGCUGAGGUUAUCGCCGUGCUACUGUCUGACAAUGCUGUUCUGCGCCACAACGUCUGAAGGAAUCGAUCAGCCACCGAGGGCAACGCAAGCUGGAGCAAAGCUAUCGACGAACCCGCCCAUGGGUGUUGAUGGUAUUGAUCUCACCAAUCAUCAUGUAGCCAUCUUUUUGUGUGACGCUGACUUACAUUACAUCAAGAGCAAUACCAAGCAGCUUUGUCCACCGACUGUUUCGAUCGCUGUUAUGGAGGGGCGGACUAUGCAGCUGCCAGGCAUGAAUAGGGACUUACUCGUAGCUCUGAGGAACUUUCAGUCGACUUUUUUGAGUGGUUCGCAUGUGAUCACGGGUGGAGAAGUGAUUAACCAGCUCUUUAAUUCGGUAUUUUUGGCCUGGGCUCCCUUCUUUGAAGUGAGAGCGAGUGCAUUUUUGGCGCACCGAAUUUAGAACGUUUGCUGCAAUACAACGGCACUUGAAUGUUUCGUCUCUCACUUGCUUACACCAUAAUACAGGCGUUAUUUGAGCGUGA